GAAGGCUUUCGGGUUGUAAAGCACUUUAAGUAAGGAGAAAAAGAUUGUAGUUAAUACCUGCAAUCCUUGAUGUUACUUACAGAAUAAGGACCGGCUAAUUCCGUGCCAGCAGCCGCGGUAAUACGGAAGGUCCAAGCGUUAAUCGGAAUUACUGGGCGUAAAGCGCGCGUAGGUGGUUUUUUAAGUUGGAUGUGAAAGCCCUGGGCUCAACCUAGGAACUGCAUCCAAAACUAGAUGACUAGAGUACGAAAGAGGGAAGUAGAAUUCACAGUGUAGCGGUGGAAUGCGUAGAUAUUGUGAAGAAUACCAAUGGCGAAGGCAGCUUCCUGGUUCUGUACUGACACUAAGGUGCGAAAGCGUGGGUAGCGAACAGGAUUAGAUACCCAGGUAGUCCACGCCGUAAACGAUGACAACUAGCUGUUGGGAGACUAGAUCUCUCAGUGGCGCAGCUAACGCUU
rnacentral:rRNA from 1 species